rnacentral:lncRNA from 1 species
UCGCCGCAAAAGUAUUCCUUAUUGUAUUAAAAUUUACACCUUAUCAGAUAAAAGACAUCCCACUAGACACCAUCUAUACUAUGAUUUCUAAACUCUAAAGUCUUUCUCUUCAAUCUCAAAACCAUCAACUUCCUCUUCGUCAAUGGACAAGUUAGCAUAGAACUGUUCUAGAGCGCCUGUUGGAGUGUUUUGAUCCACUAUCCUAACCAAAAAAGUUGACAGCACAAGAAGAAAACAACGAGCAAAACCAAAAAAACAACACUUUGAUGUUUAGCUUUUGCAUUUUAAGAAUGCAAUAAAAUAUGUGAGAAAAUGAAUUUGGCAAACCAGCCCAAAAAGACAGUUUAGCUUUUGCUUUUCAUUAACCCAUCUUGGAUUGAUGUUGCUGUUCAUGCAAUUAGUAAAAAAGAAAGAAAGAAAGGAAAUGGAAAUGCU